rnacentral:rRNA from 1 species
AGGGAAUCUUCCGCAAUGGACGAAAGUCUGACGGAGCAACGCCGCGUGAGUGAUGAAGGUUUUCGGAUCGUAAAGCUCUGUUGCCAGGGAAGAACGUCCGUUAGAGUAACUGCUAACGGAGUGACGGUACCUGAGAAGAAAGCCCCGGCUAACUACGUGCCAGCAGCCGCGGUAAUACGUAGGGGGCGAGCGUUGUCCGGAAUUAUUGGGCGUGAAGCGCGCGCAGGCGGCUGUUUAAGUCUGGUGUUGAAUCAUGGGGCUCAACCCCGGGUCGCACUGGAAACUGGGAGGCUUGAGUGCAGAAGAGGAGAGUGGAAUUCCACGUGUAGCGGUGAAAUGCGUAGAGAUGUGGAGGAACACCAGUGGCGAAGGCGGCUCUCUGGUCUGUAACUGACGCUGAGGCGCGAAAGCGUGGGGAGCAAAC